UGAGUAACGCGUAUGCAACUUGCCUAUCAGAGGGGGAUAACCCGGCGAAAGUCGGACUAAUACCGCAUGAAGCAGGGAUCCCGCAUGGGAAUAUUUGCUAAAGAUUCAUCGCUGAUAGAUAGGCAUGCGUUCCAUUAGGCAGUUGGCGGGGUAACGGCCCACCAAACCGACGAUGGAUAGGGGUUCUGAGAGGAAGGUCCCCCACAUUGGUACUGAGACACGGUCCAA
rnacentral:rRNA from 1 species